rnacentral:misc_RNA from 1 species
UAACAUCAAGGAGACUGAUUUUGUCAAUGUCACGAUUCAGUCAUUGAUGCGAGUAACUCCCUUGAGAAACUUCUUUCUUAUCCCUGAGAAUUAUCAACACAAUAGAUCUCCUCUUGUUCAUAGAUUUGGAGAGCUUACCCGAAAGAUUUGGCACGCAAGGAACUUUAAAGGACAGGUCAGUCCGCAUGAGUUCUUGCAAGCGGUUAUGAAAGCUAGUAAAAAACGUUUUCGGAUAGGUGCCCAGUCUGACCCUGUUGAAUUUAUGUCAUGGCUCCUGAAUACCCUUCACACGGAGCUUAGAAGUUCCAAAAAAGGCAGUAGCAUAAUCCAUCGGUGCUUUCAGGGGGAAUUGGAGGUUGUGAAAGAGAUGCAUAAUAGAUCUAUUGCUGAAAAGAGGGAGAAUGGGGAGGAUGGUGAACAUGAAUCUCACAAUACUGGCAUGGAAACUAGCAGAAUGCCUUUUAUAAUGCUUGGACUUGAUUUGCCACCACCUCCUCUUUUUACAGAUGUCAUGGAAACUAGCAGAAUGCCUUUUAUAAUGCUUGGACUUGAUUUGCCACCACCUCCUCUUUUUACAGAUGUCAUGGAAAAGAAUAUUAUUCCCCAGGUUCCAUUAUUCAACAUACUAAAGAAAUUUGAUGGUGAUACUGUGACUGAAGUUGUAAGGCCCCGUAUAGCAAGGAUGAGAUACCGUGUGACAAAAUUGCCAAAGUAUCUAAUUCUCCACAUGCGUAGGUUUACAAAGAACAAUUUCUUUAUGGAGAAAAAUCCUACACUUGUGAACUUCCCGGUGAAGAAUCUAGAGCUCAAGGAUUAUAUUCCCCUGCCAGCACCAAAGGAGAAUGAGAAACUUCGCUCAAAAUAUGAUUUGAUUGCUAAUAUUGUUCAUGAUGGAAAGCCAGGCGAAGGCUCAUACAGAGUGUUUGUCCAACGAAAAUCAGAAGAACUUUGGUAUGAGAUGCAAGACCUACAUGUUUCUGAAACUCUUCCCCAGAUGGUUGCGCUUUCUGAGACUUAUAUGCAGAUAUAUGAGCAGCAUCAGCAGUAAUGAACCUCACAAGUAACAUCAGAAACAUCAACCUCUGCCUCUCCUCUUCUUUUUGAAAUGCCAAUUUCGACUUUUAGAUAUCUAAUGAAGAGUAUUCUACUCGUUGAGGGAUAGUGAUCUUUGCGAUUUAUUUUUCCUUUGUUGUAUGUAAAUCCUGCUGUUUUUG